UGCGGGGUCGUCUAACGGUAGGACGCGGGACUUUGAAUCCUAAAAUGAAGGUUCGAUUCCUUCCCCCGCAGCCA
rnacentral:tRNA from 1 species